GGUUGCGAUCAUACAAGCAGUAACGCACCGGAUCCCAUCAGAACUCCAAAGUUAAGCAUGCUUGGGCGAGAGUAGUACUAGGAUGGGUAACCCCUAGGAAGUCCUCGUGUUGCAUCCC
rnacentral:rRNA from 1 species